rnacentral:rRNA from 1 species
AUACGGAGGGGGCUAGCGUUGUUCGGAAUUACUGGGCGUAAAGCGCGCGUAGGCGGACCAGUCAGUCAGGGGUGAAAUCCCGGGGCUCAACCCCGGAACUGCCUUUGAUACUGCUGGUCUUGAGUUCGAGAGAGGUGAGUGGAAUUCCGAGUGUAGAGGUGAAAUUCGUAGAUAUUCGGAGGAACACCAGUGGCGAAGGCGGCUCACUGGCUCGAUACUGACGCUGAGGUGCGAAAGCGUGGGGAGCUAACAGGAUUAGAAACCCUAGUAGUCC